rnacentral:rRNA from 1 species
AUUGAACGCUGGCGGCAUGCCUUACACAUGCAAGUCGAACGGCAGCGCGGGGCAACCUGGCGGCGAGUGGCGAACGGGUGAGUAAUAUAUCGGAACAUACCCUAGAGUGGGGGAUAACGUAGCGAAAGUUACGCUAAUACCGCAUACGCACUAAGGUGGAAAGUGGGGGAUCUUCGGACCUCAUGCUCAUGGAGUGGCCGAUAUCUGAUUAGCUAGUUGGUGAGGUAAAGGCUCACCAAGGCAACGAUCAGUAGCUGGUUUGAGAGAACGACCAGCCACACUGGAACUGAGACACGGUCCAGACUCCUACGGGAGGCAGCAGUGGGGAAUUUUGGACAAUGGGGGGCAACCCUGAUCCAGCAAUGCCGCGUGAGUGAAGAAGGCCUCGGUUGUAAG